AAAUUGAAGAGUUUGAUCAUGGCUCAGAUUGAACGCUGGCGGCAGGCCUAACACAUGCAAGUCGAACGGUAGCACAGAGAGCUUGCUCUCGGGUGACGAGUGGCGGACGGGUGAGUAAUGUCUGGGAAACUGCCUGAUGGAGGGGGAUAACUACUGGAAACGGUGGCUAAUACCGCAUAACGUCGCAAGACCAAAGAGGGGGACCUUCGGGCCUCUUGCCAUCAGAUGUGCCCAGAUGGGAUUAGCUUGUUGGUGAGGUAACGGCUCACCAAGGCGACGAUCCCUAGCUGGUCUGAGAGGAUGACCAGCCACACUGGAACUGAGACACGGUCCAGACUCCUACGGGAGGCAGCAGUGGGGAAUAUUGCACAAUGGGCGCAAGCCUGAUGCAGCCA
rnacentral:rRNA from 1 species